CCCCUCUCAGGGUUGCACCCGGAGAGUUCCUAAUACUCUACCGGCCUCGGCUACGGGAGGGAGAGUCAAGCAGAAGCCUGUUCAUUCCAUUCCUAGUUUGGGCAGCGGCUAGCGAGUGGAAGGCCAUCUCCUACAAGG